AUGGGUACGGUGGCUCUCUCCAUCUGUGCCCACCAGCUUAAUGUAGACAUCGUUAUAAGUGGUGGCACGGUUGAGGCUACCUGUGAACACGGACAAUUCAUAAUCCACCAUUUCCACUCUGAAAAGCAGAAGAAUCCUGAUUGGGAGAGAAUUGUCAUGAUCUGGGUCUCGGCAGUAUCUUCUCUCCCUGUGUUGUCUCUCUCCCUGUGUCUGUCUGAUCCUCCUGUCUCCCCCUCCCCUGUCUGUGUUGUCUGUGCAUGGGCGUGGCUACUCUCUCCUGUAGGAAGCACCAGGUGGGACACAUCCAGCAAUCAACUCCUCCAUAAAGCCUCUGGACCUUCAGUCACUCAUCGCCAGAUCCUACUAUCAGUCAUAGCGUGUUUCUACUGCUCCUUCCUUCCCGCCUGCCUGCCUGCCUACCAGUCUAAAGCCCCUGCCUACGUUUUGGGUCGAGUCAUCGACAUCUACGUGCCCGCCCGGGUUCCUGUGCUUCCCUGUGGCGUGGCUACGCGGCGCCGCCAUUGCCUCCAGGGGACGCCAAGCCACGAGUCGUCGUUUCUACUACCCACUACGAUUCCUAAUAUUACAAUAAAUAUUGACUGUACUAAAGCUGCCUGAGUCUCGAGUCGUGCAUUUUGGGUUCGGCCUCUGUUGAUAUCAUAACAAGAAUAAUAAAAAAACUAUCUCAGCACCAAUUAGGUUAACUUUCAUUAUACAUGAACCUGAUUGCAAAAAAAACUUUCUGUGCUGAUUUCAUAGCAACAUUUAGUCCAGGUGUUACAAAGUGAAAUUAUUUCAUAAAGCAUUUUUCUUAUCUGUUAAUGAGUUCAUAUGAUGAACGGCACUUUUGAUCACAUGAUGUUCAGUCAGUACCAGUAAGUCAACUGUGCUGAGAAUCAGCUGCCCAAGUUGAUGGAAAAAAGUUGAGAUAUCUGUUUGAAGUUACAUAAAAAAAGUAUUGCAGUAUUGCCGAGUAAAAGCAACUUUAUCUGUAUCUCUCCAUACUCCAUAUCUGAUCAACCGAAUGUUCGUUUUUAUACUUUUAUCGGAUCAAUCCAAGUUUGUGUGUGCCAUUUCCUUAUAAAAGGUUAUCAUCUGACAUCAUAAAAGUUUGUUCUGACAUUUUUAAAGAACAGGAAAUACUGCACUGCAAGUGUUUCAGUUUAACCGUGUUCCAGGUGAACCAGUGACCUUGUUAACUGGUGACCUUUGGCUGAAUGCAUCUGUAGCCCUUUUCACACAGAGACUCUGCAUAAUCGCUGCAACCAAGAUUUGCCCUUUCUCCGCCUUUGUUGUGUUCACACUAAACCAAGUGCUGUGGAACCAAAAGAGGCGUGUUGGUACACAUCAUGAUCUUGAUAUCUGGUUUUUUAAAUUUUUUUUUUUACGUGUUUACACUUAAUCUAAGAGCAUUAAUCUAAGCAUGUGUCCAUCGACAGUUUAUAAUCAUAUGGAUGCAGUUAUAAUGUGUUGUUAUUAAGAUCCUGACACACCAUGCAUCCUAGAAAAUGACAAAGAUAUUGUUGUUUCUGGCCUGUCUUCAUCGAAGGUGUCGGUGUAUAGUUUGAUGAUGAAAAAAUUCUGCGGAGGCAAGGCUAGGUGGAAUGAUAGAGCAAUCUUUAUUGAAACAGAUCUCAAGCCUGCAUCCGAACCAGGGUGGCCGCCCCCUAAAUUCUGCCCUCUGGAAGUGUCAAUGGGGCUUGUGGUAACCAGUGACAAAAACUAGCUUGAACCUCUACAGGCUCCUAGCCCCACAAUGGAUCCAAUUCAAAAUUUUCACUCAUAGAGUCAUCCAUAACCAGGCCCCUUCCCACCCCACUCACCUGCUCCACCGCCACACCUCCUCUUGCAGCCUUCGCUCCUCUGAUGCCUAAUCUUCUGUCUGCACCACUUAGGAUUAAGCACCAUACCUGGGACCUUUGAAUAGCUGCCCCUCCCUCUGGGACUUUCCCCAACCACAUGUGGAACUGAAAGGUCACUCUCAAGAGCACCUUACCAUGUUUAGAUUCCUGGUAGGACAGGAAAUAUGUAUAUGUACGACCAUUUCAUGAGAGGGCAACAAAAUAGACAUUUAUACUACUCAUUUGAUACGGCAAAUAAAAAACAAACACUCAAAGAAUACAAUGAGUUCACUCAAGCAAUACAGGCAAAGACACCGAAGCAGCAAACACUUGCAGAUACUUUCAAAAGUAAAAGAGAAAUACCCUCGAGACAGUGACAUGGCCAAAAAAAUUAUGGAGAAGGUAAUUAAAUUAAUCGCUCUGGAUAACCAGCUCAUCUCUGUGGUAGAGGGUCAGGGUUUUCUUCGUCAUCUGGAGUUUUUGAAUCCCUGGUAUGUCCUACCAUCUCGGCAUUACAUUACAUUGACUCCACUUUUGAGUUACAACUUGCUGGUAUGCGCACUAGUUUUGUGGGUCUCAUACAGCAGAGCAUGUAAAACUGGCAACCGAGAAGACGCUGAACACGUGUGAAAUAAACAAGCAACGCGUCCACGUCAUUUUAAGUGUCAACGUAAGGAAUAUGAUAAAAGCAUCGGAUGAUAUGGAAGUAUGAAGCGUGGGCUGCGUCUUGCACAUACGUCAGCUGGCUGUACACAAGGGUCUGCUGUCACAGUGCAGCGUCACAGACUCACCUGCUAACACAAGGAAGAUGGUAGGCCAGUGUUGCAGUAACAUAUGCAAAGAGCCAUUUGAAAGUAUAUACUUUGUUUCAACAAAAUAAAAAAAACUAUUAAGGAACAGCUUGGAUGCAGGUACUUUGUUUUCUUAAUGCAGUUGUAUUAUCUACGAAAAUAUUAGUUCAGGCUAGGUAUCGGAUCGGGACUUGGUAUCGGCAGAUACUGAAUAUUAAAGGACUCGGAUCGGGAUCAGGGUAAAAAAAACCUGAUCGGGACAUCCCUAAUAAUAACGUUGUCUUCUAUGGUCAUUAGAACAAGUGUGAACGUAGGUCAGCUUCGCCGACGACCUCUUGCCGAGAUAAAGGGGAACAGUCUGCUUUCAGUUCACUCAUUGCCCAAGAUUCCAAAAACAACAAAAAACGGAAGCGGUUCAGAAGCAAAGGGAUUUAUUUCUCUUAACUGCUUCCUUCUAGUCAUUUUAGAAGUCUUGGGCACUGAGUGAACUCACUAGAUCCUUUCUCUGAAAGGGGAGGCAGUUUAGAAAAAUAACUUUCUCUUUCUCUGAACUGCUUCCCUUUUCCCUUCCUUAAAAUUAGAGUGCAAGUUUUCGAAGAACUUCCAAAUAUAAAUUGAAGAUUAAUGAGGAAUUCCUGAAAAUUAAAAAGAAUAUUGUGUUUAGAUAAUUAGAUUAAAAGUUAAUUCAUAUUUGAACUUUCACAAUAAAAUGGUACAUUAAUGAGCACAUAUUUCACCAUUAGGAUUUGUUUUUCAGUAAAGCCCACCUGUGUUUUUCUUGGAGAGGAAUCCAUGAACAAAAAUGUCCGAAAUCCACUUCUGCAGUUCAGAGUCUUGCUUGACCUCAGCAUCAUUCUUGUAGUAGUAGCCGAGCACUCCCUGCACAAACCUUUGAGAAAUAAAACACAUUCCUAACUGACUUACACAUUUUUAUACACACUGCAGUAGAAACACACUUGUAAUGCUAACAGAACAAAUAGAUCAAAUU
rnacentral:lncRNA from 1 species